rnacentral:rRNA from 1 species
CCUACGGGUGGCAGCAGUGAGGAAUAUUGGUCAAUGGGCGAAACCCUGAACCAGCCACGCCGCGUGGAGGAUGACGGUUCUAUGAGUUGUAACUCCCUUUUUUAGGGGAGCAAAUGCCGGUAUCUAACGCAUAAGCACCGGCUAACUCCGUGCCAGCAGCCUCAGUAAUACGGAGGGUGCAAGCGUUACUCGGAAUCACUGGGCGUAAAGAGCGCGUAGGCGGGAUAGCAAGUCAGACGUGAAAUCCUAUGGCUUAACCAUAGAACUGCAUUUGAAACUGUUGUUCUAGAGUAUGGGAGGGGUAGGCGGAAUGCGUGGUGUAGCGGUAAAAUGCGUAGAGAUCAAGCAGAACACCGAUUGCGAAGGCGACAUGCCAGAACACAACUGACGCUGAGGCGCGAAAGCGUGGGGAGCAAACAGGAUUAGAUACCCGAGUAGUC